rnacentral:rRNA from 1 species
AUUGAACGCUGGCGGCAGGCCUAACACAUGCAAGUCGAACGAGUGGCGGACGGGUGAGUACUGUCUGGUAACCUGCCCGAUGGCGGGGGAUAACUACUGGAACCGGUAGCUAAUACCGCAUACCAUCGGAUGUGCCCAGAUGGGAUUAGCUAGUAGGUGGGGUAACGGCUCACCUAGGCGACGAUCCCUAGCUGGUCUGAGAGGAUGCCCAGCCACACUGGAACUGAGACACGGUCCAGACGCCUACGGGAGGCAGCAGGGGGGAAGAUUGCACAAUGGGGGAAACCCGGAUGCAGCCAUCCCGAGUGUAUGAAGAAGGCCUUCGGGUUGUAAAGUACUUUCAGCGAGGAUGCGUUACUCGCAGAAGAAGCACCGGCUAACUCCGUGCCAGCAGCCGCGGUAAUUC